CCUACACAUGCAAGUCGAACGGCAGCAUAAGAGAGCUUGCUCUCUUGAUGGCGAGUGGCGGACGGGUGAGUAAUGUAUAGGGAUCUGCCCAGUAGUGGGGGACAACAGCCGGAAACGGCUGCUAAUACCGCAUACGCUCUACGGAGGAAAGCGGGGGACCUUUCGGGGCCUCGCGCUAUUGGAUGAACCUAUAUCAGAUUAGCUAGUUGGUGGGGUAAUGGCCUACCAAGGCAACGAUCUGUAGCUGGUCUGAGAGGAUGAUCAGCCACACUGGGACUGAGACACGGCCCAGACUCCUACGGGAGGCAGCAGUGGGGAAUAUUGGACAAUGGGGGAAACCCUGAUCCAGCAAUGCCGCGUGUGUGAAGAAGGCCUUCGGGUUGUAAAGCACUUUCAAUAGGGAGGAAAAGCUAUGCGUUAAUAGCGUAUAGCCGUGACGUUACCUAUAGAAGAAGCACCGGCUAACUCCGUGCCAGCAGCCGCGGUAAUACGGAGGGUGCAAGCGUUAAUCGGAAUUACUGGGCGUAAAGCGCGCGUAGGCGGUUUGCUAAGUCAGAUGUGAAAUCCCCGGGCUCAACCUGGGAAUGGCAUUUGAGACUGGUAGGCUAGAAUGUGGUAGAGGUGAGUGGAAUUCCAGGUGUAGCGGUGAAAUGCGUAGAGAUCUGGAGGAACAUCAGUGGCGAAGGCGACUCACUGGGCCAUUAUUGACGCUGAGGUGCGAAAGCGUGGGUAGCAAACAGGAUUAGAUACCCUGGUAGUCCACGCCCUAAACGAUGUCAACUAGGUGUAUGGGAAAUUUAUUUCUUGUGUAUCGAAGCUAACGCGAUAAGUUGACCGCCUGGGGAGUACGGUCGCAAGACUAAAACUCAAAUGAAUUGACGGGGGCC
rnacentral:rRNA from 1 species